rnacentral:rRNA from 1 species
AUUGAACGCUGGCGGCAGGCCUAACACAUGCAAGUCGAGCGAGCGGCGGACGGGUGAGUAAUGUCUGGGAAACUGCCCGAUGGAGGGGGGUAACUACUGGAAACGGGAGCUAAUACCGCACAUGAUAAGAUGUGUCCAGAUGGGAUUGGCUCGUAGGUGGGGUACCGGCGCACCUUGGGGACGCGCCCUAGCUGGUCUGAGAGGAUGACCAGCAACACUGUAAAUGAGACACGGUCCAGACUCCUACGGGAGUCAGCAGUGGGGAAUAUUGCACAAUGGGCGCAAGCCUGAUGCAGCCAUGCCGCGUGUAUGAAGAAGGCCUGCGGGUUGUAAAGUACUUUCAGCGGGGAGGCGUUACGCGCAGAAGAAGCACCGGCUAACUCCGUGCCAGCAGCCGCGGUAAUAC